rnacentral:rRNA from 1 species
UACGAAGGGUGCAAGCGUUACUCGGAAUUACUGGGCGUAAAGCGUGCGUAGGUGGUGAGUUAAGUCUGUCGUGAAAGCCCCGGGCUCAACCUGGGAAUGGCGAUGGAUACUGGCUCGCUAGAGUGCGGUAGAGGAGAGUGGAAUUCCCGGUGUAGCAGUGAAAUGCGUAGAGAUCGGGAGGAACAUCAGUUGCGAAGGCGGCUCUCUGGACCAGCACUGACACUGAGGCACGAAAGCGUGGGGGAGCAAACAGG